GUGAGCUAGGAAGAGGAAGAAAUAGUCGAAGAGCGGUGAGAAUGGGAGCACGGAGGAAACCCUGAGCUAUCCAUCUACGCCUCUGGAAACAGAGGUGGAUAUCUGACUCGGUGUUUCCCCUUGCCUCCCAUUCCUAUUGUUCUUAGGUUCUCCUUCCCCUUCCUUUUACCU
rfam:Triticum aestivum genome assembly, contig: Triticum_aestivum_CS42_TGACv1_scaffold_423566_5BS